GAUGAACGCUGGCGGCGUGCCUAACACAUGCAAGUCGAGCGAACCCUUCGGGGUGAGCGGCGGACGGGUGAGUAACGCGUGGGUAACCUGCCCUAUACACACGGAUAACGUACCGAAAGGUACGCUAAUACGGGAUAAAGCUGUUGGAUGGCAUCUUCUAACAAUCAAAGCUCCGGCGGUAUAGGAUGGACCCGCGUCUGAUUAGCUAGCUGGUGAGGUAAUGGCUCACCAAGGCGACGAUCAGUAGCCGACCUGAGAGGGUGAUCGGCCACACUGGAACGGAGACACGGGCCAGAGUCCUACGGGAGGCAGCAGUGGGGAAUAUUGCACAAUGGGCGAAAGCCUGAUGCAGCAACGCCGCGUGAGCGAUGAAGGUCUUCGGAUCGUAAAGCUCUGUCCUCAAGGAAGAUAAUGACGGUACGUGAGGAGGAAGCCCCGGCUAACUACGUGCCAGCCGCCGCGGUAA
rnacentral:rRNA from 1 species